AGGAUUGCCCCAAUUCCAAGACUUUGCCAAACCAGCACCAUUGGGGACUCGCAGAGCUAACCAGGGCACGCCAAAACGAGACAGGGCCACUAUCCAGACUAGAACACCAUGCUCCUUCAAAUCAAGGCUCGAGGCUGCUACUGUCGCAGAUAGUAGCCCUGCACAACCAGACCUCUCUGUGACAACAGGUCUUAGUGACAUUGCU